rnacentral:rRNA from 1 species
GAUCAUGGCUCAGAUUGAACGCUGGCGGAAUGCUUUACACAUGCAAGUCGAACGGCAGCACGGAGAGCUUGCUCUCUGGUGGCGAGUGGCGAACGGGUGAGUAAUAUAUCGGAACGUGUCCAAUAAUGGGGGAUAACGAGUCGAAAGAUUCGCUAAUACCGCAUACGCCCUACGGGGGAAAGCAGGGGAUCGUAAGACCUUGCGUUAAUGGAGCGGCCGAUAUCUGAUUAGCUUGUUGGUGAGGUAAAGGCUCACCAAGGCGACGAUCAGUAGCUGGUUUGAGAGAACGACCAGCCACACUGGAACUGAGACACGGUCCAGACUCCUACGGGAGGCAGCAGUGGGGAAUUUUGGACAAUGGGCGCAAGCCUGAUCCAGCAAUGCCGCGUGCAGGAAGAAGGCCUUCGGGUUGUAAACUGCUUUUGUACGGAACGAAACGGUCUGGGCUAAUACCCCGGGCUAAUGACGGUACCGUAAGAAUAAGCACCGGCUAACUACGUG